rnacentral:tRNA from 1 species
UAAAAGAUAAGCUAAAUAAAGCUAAUAGGUUCAUACCCUAUUUAUGAGUAAAUAUUCUCUCUUUUUA